rnacentral:lncRNA from 1 species
CUGGAAAGUUAGUUUGUCAGUCCUCAGCGCCACCCACUGGCAUCACUAAGCAAUUGCCUGGUUCAGAAAGAAGUCUCUUCUCUUCUGAACACCUGUGUAUCAUAAUGAAUCUGCAUCAGGUGCAAGUAAUCUGUCUGUUUCCUGUCAGUUGCUUUGGAUGCGAGACCUUUGAUUGGCUGUCAAGAGAAGAUAAAUUGGGUGCCUUGACUCCACCUGCCACUGUGCUACAGAAGGAGGAAAGCAGAGUGGUGGUUGUUUUGUGUUGGGUUAACAGACACUAGAUUUGGGGCUUCUCAAGCUUACACCUGAUAUUAUUUCUGCUUAAAGCGAUGAGCUUUAUAUUUUGUGUGUUGCUGCCAUGGGUACUUCUUGUUGGGGAGCUUCAAGCAAGUAUGAAACCUUCCCAUCUUGGCUUUGGAAAUGUUGAUGCCAGUAAGCAGGUCUCAGGUGACCAGCUUCAUCAGUUGCCACACUGGUUCAACCCUUUGCACCAGGACCAGGCCCAGCCUCAGCCUCGGAGCUCUCUUGCUCCUAGCUCUCAGCCCAAGGUCCAACCCCAGUCUCGCAGCUACCUCCCCCGGCCACUGCUGCAAGCUUAUGGUUCUCAGCCACAAGUCCAGCCCCUGUCACAGCCCCUGGUGCAUGCUCGCAGCUAUCAAGCUCAGCCACAGGCUCAUAGUUACUGGGCUGAGGCCCACCCCCAGCUGCAGCCUCGCAGUCAAGGCCAUCCUGGGAUCCAGGGUGCCCCCCAGGCCCAUCCCCAGGUACGCAGCUAUCCAAUGCAUCCUCAGAUGAUGCGUUACCAGCGCAGACCUCAUCUUCAGCCUUGGGUCAGGGCAACUGCCACAAACCACCAGAUUCUGCAAGGGGCUUAAACGAAGAGGGCCAACAUCAGAAGAUGGAUCAUUAACUGCAUGGAUACAAUUAAACUGAUCUUUAGGGGAAAUGUAAAUAAAUCUGUCUAGACGAGUCUGUGUGUGGGCUAGCUUAUUUAUAUUUUAUACUAAUAUCUCAGUUGUGACAGCAGGUGGUGCAUAUUUCAAAUUUUGAGCUCAAACUGAAGCCAUUCAUGUGCAGCAUCUACAGCAGGCAAAGAAGAUUGGCUCUGACAGCACGAGUGAUGCAUAAUGACCUGCUCUUCAGUCUGCAGGUGACCCAGUUCAACUGGAACAAGCUGCUUUUUUUUUUUUUUUAAAAAAAAAAAAAAAAAAAAACCCAGGCAAAGAAACAGAACUGCACAUCAAUACUGGGAUUAUGACGCUACUGUGGAAAACUUAAACAAAAUGGAGACUUUUAGAUUGGUUCUGCAUAUAGAGCCAAAAGUCUAUAUUUUUCAGCAUGUAAGUGAAAUCUUGAUUACUUUUUUGCGUACCUUUUAUUUCCAGACUGCUGUUAACUUAAAAGAGAAAAUCCAACUGAUUCAGAGCACUAUUCAGUCUGGUUACUAGAUAAAGUCAGAUUUUCUUUAAUGUGCACCAGAGACAAAUGAGUCUCAGGUGCACAUCUAAAUUCACUGGGUAACUGCAAGAAAAAAAAACAGGCCUUCGUGGAAAACUGCUGCAUGCAGUGCACUUGCAAUGCUUAACUCCAUGUUCCUGUUCAGCAAAGCGACCAAAGUCGUCUCUUUAUCAGUUAAGUAUCCUCCAGGAGGUGUUAAUAUAACGUAGGUGGUAGAAAUAAUAAGCUACAAAAAUGUACAUGUCUCUGAUAAUUCCCUCGACGGAUGAAAUGCUGUUUGUCCAAAUCCUGGUUUUGGUGGAUCUUGUUAAAUUGGUUUGAGAUGUGGAGGCUGCAGGCAUAUGACUAAUUCCAUUUUGUUUGGUGAUCCCUCCAAGUCCUUAGCAGAAGCAUUCCAUGUUUUUGAACUCAUUUAUUCACAGCACAUUUAAUCUAACAACUGUUUCCUAUCCAGCAUACAUUGUUCCUACAUGUCCAUGCUUAUGUUCUGCCUAUAGGUGGCACCAUCUGACAUGAAACUUGACUGUCGUGGACAUGUUGGGACUAAAAGACAAAUACUGCAGGGACUAGAAUAUUUUAAUACUUGUUUUAAACUAUAAAGAAACCAGUUUUCCCUAAAUGGCAAAAUAGAUUCUUUAAGGAACUGUUUUCUAGAAAGUUGCUUUUACUGAGAUGACUUUACACUGUUUCAAAAGUAUAACUUGUACUAUAAUGGUAUAUUAGUAUGAGUUACAAUUCUUCUAUAUCUCAUAUGUAAAAUG